rnacentral:rRNA from 1 species
AUAUAAAAAAUUUAGGUAGUAAUAAAUUUUUUUUAAACCUUAAAAUUUUGGCGGCAUUUAAUUUUUUUAGAGGAACUUGUUAAUUAAUCGAUAAUCCACGAUAUUUCUCACUAAAUAUUAAAAGUUUUUAUACCACCAUCUAAAGAAUUAAUUUUAAAAUAAUUUUCAUAAUAAUAUUAUAAAAAGUUAGGUAAAGGUAUAGCCAAUAUUUUAGAAUUAAUGUGUUUCAUUAAACAUUAUUUAUUUAAAAUUUCAAAAGAAUAAUACUUUAGAAUUUAAUAGUA